rnacentral:lncRNA from 1 species
AAGAAUGUCCUACUAGAAAAGUGGGAUGCUCCUGAGGAAAGAUGACGGCAAGGCUACAGAGUGUCUGCUGCAGUGUGCAGGAUGGGGACCCACUGGAAGGAGCUCCGUGUCUUUGCAGUGGCAGAGCUGUAAGCAGGUAUCAUGAUAGAGCUGUCACAGCUUCAGGCCUGGGCAAGUAAAGAGCAGCCCAGAGACAACUAUGCAAGAUUGGCAUAUUGGGAUCCCAGAGCACCCUUUAAAGACAGAUUCCUGUUUCCCAGAUGCCAAAUAUCUUCAGAGUCAUAUCCAUGUUGCUGGCAAACAUUGUACAAGGUAGAACUGCAAGAUUUACAUAGAUGGCAAGCUGACCUUGGAGCGCAGCCUGUCUGCAUAUCCCACCCGUCCUCAUGCUGCAUGAUAAAGACACCUUGCAGAAAUUAUACUUGGACACCUUGUCUCAUAUCUGGUUGCAAGCACAGGGAGAGAUGAAAGUUACCAAGCUGGAACCAAACACCAGCUGAAUGAUGCGUACUGCAGGGAAGAAAAGUCUAAAGCCUUGAGCAGGCGCACAUUUUCCCCUUUGGGGCUAUAAGGAUCCUUAACAGAAAACUGCUGUAUCUGACUUAGAGUGAUUCUGGGCAGGCCAAGGCAGCACAUACAGCUUGUCCUUUGGUAACGUGCUCUGCAGGUCCAGUGGACAGGUAGUGGUAGCGGAGCUUGUGGGCAGGUCCCACACCAUGCUGGCAACAGCACCAACUGAAUGGCCUUGCCUUUAUCUGGAAGAGCAGCAACACAUUGCCACAUGUUCAACUGUAGAAAUGAUGAAUACAGGUUUUUGUCUUCUAAGAAAAUUCUGUAAAAUAAAUCUAAACCAAAACGUCA